GAUGAACGCUGGCGGCGUGCCUAAUACAUGCAAGUCGAGCGAACAGACGAGGAGCUUGCUCCUUUGACGUUAGCGGCGGACGGGUGAGUAACACGUGGGUAACCUACCUAUAAGACUGGGAUAACUUCGGGAAACCGGAGCUAAUACCGGAUAAUAUUUCGAACCGCAUGGUUCGAUAGUGAAAGAUGGCUUUGCUAUCACUUAUAGAUGGACCUGCGCCGUAUUAGCUAGUUGGUAAGGUAACGGCUUACCAAGGCAACGAUACGUAGCCGACCUGAGAGGGUGAUCGGCCACACUGGAACUGAGACACGGUCCAGACUCCUACGGGAGGCAGCAGUAGGGAAUCUUCCGCAAUGGGCGAAAGCCUGACGGAGCAACGCCGCGUGAGUGAUGAAGGUCUUCGGAUCGUAAAACUCUGUUAUUAGGGAAGAACAAACGUGUAAGUAACUGUGCACGUCUUGACGGUACCUAAUCAGAAAGCCACGGCUAACUACGUGCCAGCAGCCGCGGUAAUACGUAGGUGGCAAGCGUUAUCCGGAAUUAUUGGGCGUAAAGCGCGCGUAGGCGGUUUUUUAAGUCUGAUGUGAAAGCCCACGGCUCAACCGUGGAGGGUCAUUGGAAACUGGAAAACUUGAGUGCAGAAGAGGAAAGUGGAAUUCCAUGUGUAGCGGUGAAUUGCGCAGAGAUAUGGAGGAACACCAGUGGCGAAGGCGACUUUCUGGUCUGUAACUGACGCUGAUGUGCGAAAGCGUGGGGAUCAAACAGGAUUAGAUACCCUGGUAGUCCACGCCGUAAACGAUGAGUGCUAAGUGUUAGGGGGUUUCCGCCCCUUAGUGCUGCAGCUAACGCAUUAAGCACUCCGCCUGGGGAGUACGACCGCAAGGUUGAAGCUCAAAGGAAUUGACGGGGACCCGCACAAGCGGUGGAGCAUGUGGUUUAAUUCGAAGCAACGCGAAGAACCUUACCAAAUCUUGACAUCCUUUGACCCUUCUAGAGAUAGAAGUUUCCCCUUCGGGGGACAAAGUGACAGGUGGUGCAUGGUUGUCGUCAGCUCGUGUCGUGAGAUGUUGGGUUAAGUCCCGCAACGAGCGCAACCCUUAAGCUUAGUUGCCAUCAUUAAGUUGGGCACUCUAAGUUGACUGCCGGUGACAAACCGGAGGAAGGUGGGGAUGACGUCAAAUCAUCAUGCCCCUUAUGAUUUGGGCUACACACGUGCUACAAUGGACAAUACAAAGGGCAGCGAAACCGCGAGGUCAAGCAAAUCCCAUAAAGUUGUUCUCAGUUCGGAUUGUAGUCUGCAACUCGACUACAUGAAGCUGGAAUCGCUAGUAAUCGUAGAUCAGCAUGCUACGGUGAAUACGUUCCCGGGUCU
rnacentral:rRNA from 1 species